CCUACGGGUGGCAGCAGUCGAGAAUCAUUCACAAUGGGGGAAACCCUGAUGGUGCGACGCCGCGUGGGGGAAUGAAGGUCUUCGGAUUGUAAACUCCUGUCAUGUGGGAGUAAAUCAAAAAGAUAGUACUACAAGAGGAAGAGACGGCUAACUCUGUGCCAGCAGCCGCGGUAAUACAGAGGUCUCAAGCGUUGUUCGGAAUCACGGGGCGUAAGCGUGCGUGGGCUGUUUCGUAAGUCGCGUGUGAAAGGCGGGGGCUCAACCCGCGGACGGCCCAUAAUACUGCGGGACUAGAGUAAAGGAGGGGGAGCCGGAAUUCUCGGUGUAGCAGUGAAAUGCGUAGAUAUC
rnacentral:rRNA from 1 species